rnacentral:lncRNA from 1 species
GCCAUCGGGGUCCCGGUCCCGAUCUCCAGGGGAACGCUUUGGGUGUUUCGUCGUCAAGUCUGACGCUUGCUGUGGGUUUCUUCUUACCAGCUUGAGGAAGUGCUCUUCUGUCCCCGAGUUCUGGAGUGUUCUUGUUUCACGAAAGGGUGUUCAGUUCCCAGAACCACUGGCGGAGGAGCGUUUCAAGUUUUUGCUCCUUCUCGAAGUUUGCCCUGAAUCAGCCUCUUCUCCUGGGACGGGACGU